UUAAUUAAUUCAGGUUAGAAAAGGACGUGCUCACCUCAGUCCUCUCUACGAACACUGCAGGGUUUUGCGUUCUUUAUAUAUUUUCACAACAGCAAAACGCAAUGCUACGAACAUAUAAGUUGAGCCAUGUUAAGGUAUUGAGUACAAUGUCCUUCUAAGGCUACGACCUUCUGGUAGGUUAUUUUGUAACUGGCAGGAGCUGCUCUCAUGGUUGAAAUCCGAUACUCUUCAAGCCCCAGCAACACUCCGUUGUCUGGUUGCCCACGCAACGAUAUAUCAUCUGUGGAAACAGAGAAACAAUGUCCUCUUCAACAGCACCCACAUUCCACCGGAGUCUAUUAUUAAGUGCAUAGACAGGGACAUUCGCAACACCAUCCAUGCAAGAAACAGGAGGAAAAGAUUCCUCAACUAUCUACCUCUUUGGAGCCACUGAUGUUUGCAUCACCACAAAUGUAACUUAAUUGUCUCUCUGUUUUUCCUUUUUUUGCCAGAGAAGCAAUUUUAGAUUAGUGUUUCUACUCUUGUAAAAACUCUUUUAUUUCAUUUAUGAUAUUAACAUCCUUAGCAAAAAAAAAAUGUUAAGGUAUUGAGGCAUUGGUAGUAGAGCACGUACGGGAAUUGGCAAAGAGUGUUGAAUAUACUUUUUAACUCCUUCCCUCAGAGCUUCCACUUUUUCUGAUGUCACUUUCCAAACGCCUCGUGCUUUCA
rnacentral:lncRNA from 1 species